AACGCGAAGAACCUUACCAGGCCUUGACAUGGGUAGUAUGGACUGCAGAAACGUAGUCCUUCAGUUUGGCUGGCUACCACACAGGUGCUGCAUGGCUGUCGUCAGCUCGUGUCGUGAGAUGUUGGGUUAAGUCCCGCAACGAGCGCAACCCUCAUCCUUAGUUGCCAACACGUAAUGGUGGGAACUCUAAGGAAACUGCCGGUGAUAAGCCGGAGGAAGGUGGGGAUGACGUCAAGUCUUCAUGGCCCUUACGGCCUGGGCUACACACGUGCUACAAUGGCGGUGACAAUGGGAAGCUAGCCUGCAAGGGUAUGCUAAUCUCAAAAAGCCGUCUCAGUUCGGAUUGCACUCUGCAACUCGAGUGCAUGAAGCUGGAAUCGCUAGUAAUCGUAGAUCAGCACGCUACGGUGAAUACGUUCCCGGGCCUUGUACACACCGCUCGCGA
rnacentral:rRNA from 1 species